rnacentral:rRNA from 1 species
UUGCCGGCGACCGGCGCACGGGUGAGUAACGCGUAUCCAACCUUCCGCUUACUCGGGGAUAGCCUUUCGAAAGAAAGAUUAAUACCCGAUGGUAUCUUAAGCACGCAUGAGAUUAAGAUUAAAGAUUUAUCGGUAAGCGAUGGGGAUGCGUUCCAUUAGGCAGUUGGCGGGGUAACGGCCCACCAAACCUACGAUGGAUAGGGGUUCUGAGAGGAAGGUCCCCCACAUUGGAACUGAGACACGGUCCAAACUCCUACGGGAGGCAGCAGUGAGGAAUAUUGGUCAAUGGGCGAGAGCCUGAACCAGCCAAGUAGCGUGAAGGAUGACGGCCCUACGGGUUGUAAACUUCUUUUGUGCGGGAAUAAAGGAGCCUACGUGUAGGCUUUUGCAUGUACCGUAACGAAUAAGCAUCGGCUAACUCCGUGCCAGCAGCCGCGGUAAUACGGAGGAUGCGAGCGUUAUCCGGAUUUAUUGGGUUUAAAGGGAGCGUAGACGGGUUUUUAAGUCAGCUGUGAAAGUUUGGGGCUCAACCUUAAAAUUGCAGUUGAAACUGGAGACCUUGAGUACGGUUGAGGCAGGCGGAAUUCGUGGUGUAGCGGUGAAAUGCUUAGAUAUCACGAAGAACUCCGAUUG